rnacentral:rRNA from 1 species
AUUGAACGCUGGCGGCAUGCUUUACGCAUGCAAGUCGAACGGUAACAGGCCUUCGGGUGCUGACGAGUGGCGAACGGGUGAGUAAUGCAUCGGAACGUGCCCAGAGGUGGGGGAUAACGCAGCGAAAGCUGUGCUAAUACCGCAUGUGAUCUGAGGAUGAAAGCGGGGGACCAGGCAGCAAUGUUUGGCCUCGCGCCUUUGGAGCGGCCGAUGUCAGAUUAGGUAGUUGGUGGGGUAAAGGCCUACCAAGCCGACGAUCUGUAGCUGGUCUGAGAGGACGACCAGCCACACUGGGACUGAGACACGGCCCAGACUACUACGGGAGGCAGCAGUGGGGAAUGUUGGACAAUGGGCGCAAGCCUGAUCCAGCAAUGCCGCGUGCGGGAAGAAGGCCUUCGGGUUGUAAACCGCUUUUGUACGGAACGAAAAGGCUCUGGCUAAUACCUGGGGCUGAUGACGGUACCGGAAGAAUAAGCACCGGCUAACUACGUG